rnacentral:tRNA from 1 species
ACGAGGCCUUCGCGGGCAGCCCGAUGCUCGCCGUGUCCGUCGGCGACAGCAUGCGCCAGGCGGGACUGCGCCCGUUCGGCGCGGACGCCUCGUC